rnacentral:rRNA from 1 species
UACGUAGGGAGCAAGCGUUGUCCGGAUUUAUUGGGCGUAAAGAGCUCGUAGGCGGCUUAGAAAGUCAGGUGUGAAACCUCCAGGCUCAACCUGGAGACGCCACUUGAUACUUCUAUGGCUUGAGUUCGGUAGGGGUAAGCGGAAUUCCUGGUGUAGCGGUGAAAUGCGCAGAUAUCAGGAGGAACACCGAUGGCGAAGGCGACACGCUGGGCCGUACCUGACGCUAAGGCGCGACAGCAUGGGGAGCGAACGGG